rnacentral:rRNA from 1 species
ACGCGUGGGAAUCUACCCAGUUCUACGGAAUAACGCAGGGAAACUUGCGCUAAUACCGUAUACGCCCUACGGGGGAAAGAUUUAUCGGAAUUGGAUGAGCCCGCGUAAGAUUAGCUAGUUGGUGAGGUAAUGGCUCACCAAGGCGACGAUCUUUAGCUGGUCUGAGAGGAUGAUCAGCCACACUGGGACUGAGACACGGCCCAGACUCCUACGGGAGGCAGCAGUGGGGAAUAUUGGACAAUGGGCGCAAGCCUGAUCCAGCCAUGCCGCGUGAGUGAUGAAGGCCUUAGGGUUGUAAAGCUCUUUCAGUAGGGAAGAUAAUGACGGUACCUACAGAAGAAGCCCCGGCUAACUUCGUGCCAGCAGCCGCGGUAAUACGAAGGGGGCUAGCGUUGUUCGGAUUUACUGGGCGUAAAGCGCACGUAGGCGGAUCGUUAAGUCAGAGGUGAAAUCCCGGAGCUCAACUCCGGAACUGCCUUUGAUACUGGCGAUCUCGAGUCCGGAAGAGGUAAGUGGAACUCCUAGUGUAGAGGUGGAAUUCGUAGAUAUUAGGAAGAACACCAGUGGCGAAGGCGGCUUACUGGUCCGGAACUGACGCUGAGGUGCGAAAGCGUGGGGAG